CGAGGUGGCGCGGCCCUCGGGCCCGACUUGGAGGCUGGGGAGGGGGUGUCCGUCUGCGCGUAAUUUAGGGCGAAUGACAGCGGCGUUGUGCCUCUUAAAGGUCCCGCCCCCAGUGCCCCUGCUGCGCCGGCAUCGCCCGGGACCUGGACGGGGAGGGUAUUUGUGAGCCUGCUUUAGACUGGUGAUGUGCUGGACCCCAGGACAGGACACGCACAGCCUCCGCCUCUUCCUCUGCGCGUGUGUGUCAGGAGGGAGCAGGGCAGAAUCGGACAGUAAACAACUAAGGAAAGCAACUGGAGCCCUCUUCUCAGUUGAGGUCAACUUCCUUCAGGAGACUCAGGGGACACGGAUUCGAGCCCUGGUCUGGGAAGAUCCCACAUGCUGUGGAGCAGCUAAGCCCGUGCACCACAACUAUUGAAGCCCGCGCGCCUAGAGCCCGUGCUCUGCAACAAGAGAAGCCACCGCAAUGAGAAGCCCGACCACCGCAACAAAGAGUAGCUCCCACUCGCUGCAACAAGGACCCAAGGCGGCCACACACACACACACACAAAAGUAGACCCAGAACUCACCUGCUUCUCGCUCCCUCCUGCUCCAUCCCAGCUAAGCUGGCCCCACAGUUCCUCGGCCCGCAAUUCCCCACUAUCCUCCCUGACAA